UCCAGCGAUCAACGUAUAUUCAUGCAUGCAAAUCGCAGCGUGUGGAGACUAUGCCAGUGGAGAGACCAACGACGAUUACCUUGAGAUAGUGGGAUGUGCAUGGAAGGAGCGACUAACUAUGUAGAGGAAAGCUGCGCUCGCCGGCACUGGUCAGGGGCCUAAAUGAUUGAGGAGUGAAAUUAGAUCAUGGCCUUUCAUGUUUGAAGGGAUAUAGUAUUACGAUAACUCUCAAAAAUCAAUAUUGUAUAAUGACAGAAGUUAAUAAUCUAAAUCAGCAGGAGCAAGCUUUGGAUGAGUGUAUAUACUAGCGAGAUGUGCGGAAAGCUAAGCGGGUUAAUGGAAGAUGAGAAUGGUCGAAGCAGAGUUGCGGUGACGGUGUCAACCAUGAUGUUACAGGGAGAUGCACUACUAGAUGCCAUUCUAUUUGCUCCAUGUGCAAUUUGGUAAAAUUGAUUCAUGUUUUAAAUUCAAAAGUUAUGUUCUUUCAGGUUGUAAACUGCAUCCUAUAGUUAUUCAUGCAUUUUUGUCUACGCGAUGACACGUAUAAAACGCAUUGUCAAUGUUUAGAUGAUGGUGGUAUAAGAAGAAAAUAAACUGCUAUUUUUUAUCCUCGACAAGAUAUUUUGGGUCCUUUUUCUGUGCUAGCAUCUUUUCUUUUGGAAUGGGAUAGUUAAUGGUGCUCUUAUAAAAAAAUUGUUGUCUCCCUUCAUUCCGAAAUAUAAGCCCUUUUAGAGAU